AUGGUUUCCCACAAGGAUAGGGCUCAAAAGGCGUAUGAGGCCAUGGGGCGUCUCGGCUUCCCCAAGAAGCAGGUUUCGCCAGUCCUGAAGCACCUCUACAAGCUCUUUGAAAACUGGGAGCCCAUCGAGGACGAGAGCUACCGCAUCCUUGCUGACACCAUCCUGGAUAGCCAAAAGAAUCAACCAAUGCCUGCCACUAGCCAUCAUGUGACAGACCAAGAGUCCGAGCCUCACAACUCAACGUCGGUCACACCAGAUCCAGAUGACCAACACCCUUCUGCUGCUCGGUAUGACAUGGAUGUCAGUGAUAAUGAAACCUCCCUCAUCAACAGACCCAUGGAUGUCAGUGAAAAUCCCCAAGAUGCUCUCUUCUUACAAGAGCCCAAGCCUGAACCUGAAAUUGAUGUUCCAGCUGCUCCUGUUGCCAACGACCUCAAUACUGGGUCUUCAGGUGGGGACAACAUGCUAAUUGAACAUUGUAAAACAAGGGAUAUGCUGACAUGGGGUUCUGAUGCUAGAGCUAGCAUAGUUAACCACGAUCAAAAUCCGGACAGCAGCCAACAUGCAGUCAAGUAUGGGGUAGAGUCUACUGUUCAAAAUACUCACCAGGCAUCUUUUGUUGAACUUGAUGUAGCUUCAUCCACUCUGGGUGAAGUGAAGGUGUCAUUGAAAUGCAAAUUUGACCCUUCAGAGGUCUGCAUUAGUUUGGACAAGGUCUUCAAAAUAGUUGAGGAUAAAUGUCUCCGCUCAUACAAGACCCUACCUCCUGAUUUUUCUGUUGGCAAGCUGAUGAAUGAGAUAUGCCAAUAUGUUGCAGAGUCACGUGCUGUGCAUUCUGAAGCUCAAAACAAUGGUGGCAGCUUGCAAGAACAGGCUUUGGAGACGUAUGCUCCCUUUGUGAAGCCAAUUGCUUGUAAGCAUGCUGUUGAUGGGAAUGGUAAUGCUGCCGUAGGGUCAUCCUCGGAACCUAGCUUUCAAAAUUGGGUAGUUGCUUAUCAGCCUCAGGAAGCACUUUUUAAGCAAAGGCCACUGCAUGAUGUUGCUGACAUAACGAAGGGAGAAGAAAGAGUUAGAAUACCUAUUGUAAACGAAUUUGGUAGUGAUAGUUGUCCGCCAUUGUUCUAUUACAUAAGAAAGAAUCUCAUUUUCCAAAGUGCUUAUGUCAACACCUCACUCGCGCGGAUUGGUGAUGAGGAUUGCUGCGCAGAUUGUUCAGGCAACUGCUUAUUAGAAUCACAUCCAUGUGCAUGUGCAAGAUCAACUGGAGGUGAGAUUGCAUAUACACCGGAGGGCCUGGUCAGGGCAGAAUUAAUUGAUGAGUGCAUUGCUGUUAAUCACUUCCCAGAAAAGGAUAAUAAGUUCUACUGUAAAGCUUGUCCGCUUGAAAUAUAUAAGACGAAGCCCUCACCAGAUCCAUGUAAAGGUCAUCUUGCUAGAAAAUUCAUUAAGGAGUGUUGGAGUAAAUGUGGCUGUGGCAUGCAGUGUGGAAAUCGUGUGAUUCAGCGUGGGAUAACAUGCAAUCUCCAGGUGUUUUUCACGAAUGAAGGGAAGGGCUGGGGGCUACGGACGCUGGAUGGGCUGCCAAAAGGUGCUUUCAUCUGUGAAUUAGUUGGGGAGGUACUAACAAGUUCUGAACUACAUGAGAGAAAAGCCAAAAAUUCUAAGCAUGUGGAUCAAGUGCUCCUAGAUGCUAGUUGGGGUUCUGAAGGGGUGCUAAGAGACGAGGAAGCUCUCUGCCUUGAUCCGACAUUUUAUGGGAAUGUCGGGCGAUUUGUCAACCAUAGAUGCUAUGAUGCAAAUUUGGUAAUCAUACCUGUUGAAGUUGAGACUCCUGAUCGCCAUUAUUACCAUCUUGCAUUAUUCACUGCCAAGAAAAUAGAGGCUUUUGAGGAGUUAACACGGGAUUAUGGCAUUGAUUUUGAUGGUACUGAUGACCUCAAUAAAGCAUUUGACUGCAUGUGUGGAAGCAAGUACUGUCGCGGCGGCGGUCCGAAGAAUUCAAGGAAGAGGACUAGGGCAAGUGCAAGUCGGAACUAG
rnacentral:rRNA from 1 species